rnacentral:rRNA from 1 species
CAACGUGGGCAACCUGCCCUAGAGUGGGGGACAACAUUCCGAAAGGGGUGCUAAUACCGCAUGUGUAUCGGAAUGGCAUCAUUCAGGAUACAAAGGAUUUAUUCGCUCUAGGAUGGGCCCGCGGCCUAUCAGCUUGUUGGUGAGGUAACGGCUCACCAAGGCUACGACGGGUAGCUGGUCUGAGAGGACGAUCAGCCGGAUUGGGACUGAGAUACGGCCCAG